UGGGGGAUGGUGUAGUGGUAACACGGGUGACUCUGGAUCACUUGUCGGAGGUUCGAGCCCUCCUCCCCCAGCCA
rnacentral:tRNA from 1 species